rnacentral:rRNA from 1 species
UACGGAGGGUGCAAGCGUUAUCCGGAUUCACUGGGUUUAAAGGGUGCGUAGGAGGGCAGGUAAGUCAGUGGUGAAAUCUCCGAGCUUAACUUGGAAACUGCCGUUGAUACUAUCUGUCUUGAAUAUUGUGGAGGUGAGCGGAAUAUGUCAUGUAGCGGUGAAAUGCUUAGAUAUGACACAGAACACCGAUUGCGAAGGCAGCUCACUAAGUCAUAACUGACGCUGAUGCACGAAAGCGUGGGGAGCAAACAGG